AUCGCCUCAGUCGUGGAAGCUUCUUUGAUGUCCUCAUCAAACGCCUCUGCGGUCGGUUUUCCAGAUUGGUAAUGUUUCCAUGACCAAUCUGCUAAGUUUGUGUGUUCAUCUCCGUUGUUUCCUUCUCUUCCAGUCACCAGCUCUAGCAAAACUACCCCGAAGCUGUACACAUCGAUCUUCUCAUCUACCUUUG